UCUCCAUCCUUCCCUCUCCCCCCACAUCGUCAUGAAAUCAGUCUGUCAUUUCCUUAUACGAUCCACUCGUUUCUGUUUACAGGCAACACGCGCACAAUUCGACAUCCAGUUCCGCUUGACAGAGGUACCAACAUUUACGAAGACCCAGCUGAUUUGAUGGGUGAAGAUCAACCGAGGGUACAGAGGAGAUUUUGCAUUUCCAGUCCUGAACUGAAGACUGCAAAAACUGAAGAUUAUCCUAGUCCGAUUAAGGGCUCUUCGGGCAAGCUGGAAAAUCUGGUUGACGAUAAGAAUCCGUAUGAGCUACCGUUCCCUUCCGCUCCCAAACGACACACUUAUUAAUGUCUCAAGGCUUCUCGUUAAAAAUAGCGUUGUGAUCAGAAAAAAAAAACAAAAAAUAGACACUUAGUUUGCUUUUGUACUAUUGAUAUUUCGAAUUUUACAUUAAUGUUUAAGCUUUACAAUCAUUCGAUACUAUAUGUGCUUUGGAUCAGAACCAAGUCUUUUCCCACCACAGACCUAGUAAAUGCAAUCCUUUAACGACAUGUGUGAUUUUUCCUUGUUUGAUUUUUUAAUAGAAUUCGACAUGCAUGUAGUAAAACGUAAUAUGAAUUGUCUUGCCUAAGUAGUGUACGGAGCAAUUGACAUCGGAUACAGUCACCCAUUAAUGAUAGUGUAGUGGCGCCAUAACACAGUGGCGACCACAACAGGCGAUUGGCUACAGAAACCCGGAAGCUGAAAAUGGUAAUUGAUAGCUCUAUGGGUUUGAUUUCAUAAGUCUGUUCAUACAAGCAGUGUGUCUUUGAUUACCACUGACUUGGCCAUCUUUUAUUUUUCAUUUCCGCGAUGGUCGUGCUGUUCAUUUGUGGUAUUAUUAUCAACCACUCCCAAUAAUAAUCCAAGGAAUGAAAAAAUGAAAAGAAAAGAAAAGAUUUUUGGUGUAAGCUAAGCCUUUUUAGCAGCUCGGGAUAAGCAGCUCUGUGGAUGGACGAAGUUGUUGUCCUUGUGAAGUUCUUCUUUCAUAAUGCUUUAGUGAUAUGUAUAUAUAUAUAUGUAUAUCAAAGUAUGAGACCGCUUUACACGCGAUUGCAAACCAGGGACAAGAAAAAAGGUGCAGAGAAGCAUGCGCAUUUCAAAACUGCUACCCACGAUCGAGAACAUGAACAACGCCAUCUCGAACAACAACAACAACAACAACGAUUGUCUUUUCUCCCAUAGAACUGUUUGUUACAGCUGACAUAACCCGGUGAUGGUACGUUUCUUCUUCCUCCACAUUCUUGUGUCAUUACGGUUACCGCCAUUGUGGAAUAAAGGUGGAAAAUGUUGAAUUAAGCCGUUGCUGAUUAUAUUUCAUUGGUUUCAUAUGUUUUGAAAAACCAGAUAGUAAUAAAACUUUGAAUUUAUUAUUUGUCCAUUGUACGGCGUUCCCAUUCUCGUCGUCAUUUAAAAAAAAACGCCAAGAAUGCAUGAAAAAGUUAAACUUUGGAUUCCUACAAAUUUUGAUUUGCUACAAGUCUUGCUGACGUACCAAAUUAAGGCUAUAACUACCAUGUUAGCGUAGGCCUAUAUUAUUAGGCAUAUCUAUAUGACGACUUUCCGAAGGUAUACGGGUAGAUAUUUGGCUAAGGUCGACAGCCAAACCGUGAAGAGCACUUUUGAGACGUAAAACUGAGGACGAUUGACGCUUUUGACGCCAGACCGGUUGCUUUCGCGGAUUUCUCUCGUUUUUUUGACCUCAAGCCAAGGCAUCCAGACAGAGGCUGGUGAAACAGGACAUUUCCCUACUUUUUGCUGGUGUGUAUCAGCCAUCAUUCUCUGAAAAACACACAAAUUUAUACCUAGAAUGAAACUUUGAAGCCUCUGAUACAAAAUGAUACAACUUAACAAGCGGAAAAAAAGAAAAGGGGCAGCCCAAGGAGCAAAAGAAAACAUAUUGAAAAUAGCAGGGGACUACAUUCGACCCGGAAGCAUUAAAUAGGACUGUAGCACGAGAGGCCUUGAACCCAGAGGUAUAUGGAAACUGAUAUACCCCCGGUUUUGUAAGUGUGGAAUUUCAACCAUCAGUACAGUUCAUGGUCUAUUACCCGUUACCUACAUUAUAUCAUGACUUGCCCAUAACUACAUCUGAAGUACCAUCAAACUGCCAGGCCUAGCAGUAGUUAUUUUUUAUACUGACUUACCUUUAACAACAUGUCACAAAUGUACUACAGGUAAUGUGCUCAGGCUAAGUAUAUAUCUAUAUAUAUAUAUAUA